rnacentral:rRNA from 1 species
UACGGGGGGGGGCAAGCGUUUGUUCGGAAUUACUGGGCGUAAAGGGCUCGUAGGCGGCCAACUAAGUCAGACGUGAAAUCCCUCGGCUUAACCGGGGAACUGCGUCUGAUACUGGAUGGCUGGAGUUUGGGAGAGGGAUGCGGAAUCCAGGUGUAGCGGUGAAAUGCGUAGAUAUCUGGAGGAACACCCGUGGCGAAGGCGGCUGACUGGUCCGGUUCUGA